rnacentral:lncRNA from 1 species
CUCUAUAUGACUUACCACAUCCUUCUUUGUGACACCAUACAUACUGCAAAACCUCAUCCUGGCUUCCUAGAAAGUAAAAGCCUGUGCUGUCUUCUGUCCUUGGGUUAGAUGAGGACACUUCCUGGAGAGCCUCACCAAGGAAUCCACCCCCACCUCCAAGACUCAGUAGCAGCCACAUCAAUCUCGAGCAAAGGGAAGGGCUCCACCCUCAAGGAUCUUAUCCAUGACAGACCCCUAGACCCAGGCAACUUGGCAAGGGAGCCUUUAAGAGUGCUGAGAGGUUGGGUCUGUGACCACAGUGUUGCCUGGACCUGGAUGCCUGCCUGGGCUGGAGACCAUCUGGCUGUGCCCUCUGGCUUCCCCAGAAGAGGAUGCUCUUAG